AACCUCCGGGGGCAGGAGGUUCGACUCGAGCGAAGCGAGAGAACGUUGCGUCAGCAACGGCCCGCAGGGCGAGCCACGAAGUGGUGAGUC
rnacentral:sRNA from 1 species